rnacentral:rRNA from 1 species
UUCGCCCUUAGAGUUUGAUCCUGGCUCAGGACGAACGCUGGCGGCGCGCCUAACACAUGCAAGUCGAACGGAGCUUAAAGAGCUUGCUUUUUAAGCUUAGUGGCGAACGGGUGAGUAACGCGUGAGUAACCUGCCCUGGAGUGGGGGACAACAGUUGGAAACGACUGCUAAUACCGCAUAAGCCCACGGAUUCGCAUGGAUCUGCGGGAAAAGGAUUUAUUCGCUUCAGGAUGGACUCGCGUCCAAUUAGCUAGUUGGUGAGGUAACGGCCCACCAAGGCGACGAUUGGUAGCCGGACUGAGAGGUUGAACGGCCACAUUGGGACUGAGACACGGCCCAGACUCCUACGGGAGGCAGCAGUGGGGGAUAUUGCACAAUGGGGGAAACCCUGAUGCAGCGACGCCGCGUGGAGGAAGAAGGUUUUCGGAUUGUAAACUCCUGUCGUUAGGGACGAUAAUGACGGUACCUAACAAGAAAGCACCGGCUAACUACGUGCCAGCAGCCGCGGUAAAACGUAGGGUGCAAGCGUUGUCCGGAAUUACUGGGUGUAAAGGGAGCGCACGCGGACCGGCAAGUUGGAAGUGAAAACUAUGGGCUCAACCCAUAAAUUGCUUUCAAAACUGCUGGCCUUUGAUAGUGCAGAGGUAGGUGGAAUUCCCGGUGUAGCGGUGGAAUGCGUAGAUAUCGGGAGGAACACCAGUGGCGAAGGCGACCUACUGGGCACUAACUGACGCUGAGGCUCGAAAGCAUGGGUAGCAAACAGGAUUAGAUACCCUGGUAGUCCAUGCCGUAAACGAUGAUUACUAGGUGUUGGAGGAUUGACCCCUUCAGUGCCGCAGUUAACACAAUAAGUAAUCCACCUGGGGAGUACGACCGCAAGGUUGAAACUCAAAGGAAUUGACGGGGGCCCGCACAAGCAGUGGAGUAUGUGGUUUAAUUCGAAGCAACGCGAAGAACCUUACCAGGUCCUGACAUCCGAUGCAUAGUGCAGAGAUGCAUGAAGUCCUUCGGGACAUCGAGACAGGUGGUGCAUGGUUGUCGUCAGCUCGUGUCGUGAGAUGUUGGGUUAAGUCCCGCAACGAGCGCAACCCUUAUUGCCAGUUACUACGCAAGAGGACUCUGGCGAGACUGCCGUUGACAAAACGGAGGAAGGUGGGGAUGACGUCAAAUCAUCAUGCCCCUUAUGAUUUGGGCUACACACGUGCUACAAUGGCGUAAACAAAGGGAAGCGAGAUCGUGAGAUGGAGCAAAUCCCAAAAAUAACGUCCCAGUUCGGACUGUAGUCUGCAACCCGACUACACGAAGCUGGAAUCGCUAGUAAUCGCGGAUCAGAAUGCCGCGGUGAAUACGUUCCCGGGUCUUGCACACACCGCCCGUCA